UCGGGAAUUUUGGGCAAUGGGCGAAAGCCUGACCCAGCAACGCCGCGUGAGGGAUGAAGUAUUUCGGUAUGUAAACCUCAAAAGAAUGGGAAGAAUAAAUGACGGUACCAUUUAUAAGCUCCGGCUAACUACGUGCCAGCAGCCGCGGUAAUACGUAGUGAGCAAGCGUUGUUCGGAUUUACUGGUCUUAAAGGGCGCGUAGGCGGCGCGGUAAGUCACUUGUGAAAUCUCUGAGCUUAACUCAGAACGGCCAAGUGAUACUGCUGUGCUAGAGUGCGGAAGAGGCAACCGGAAUUCUUGGUGUAGCGGUGAAAUGCGUAGAUAUCAAGAGGAACACCUGAGGCGAAGGCGGGUUGCUGGGCCGACACUGACGCUGAUGCGCGAAAGCCAGGGGAGCAAACG
rnacentral:rRNA from 1 species